rnacentral:rRNA from 1 species
CCUACGGGUGGCAGCAGUGGGGAAUUUUGCGCAAUGGGCGAGAGCCUGACGCAGCAACGCCGCGUGAGUGAGGACGCCUUUCGAGGUGUAAAGCUCUGUCAGUGGGGACGAAGACGCGGGUGGUGAAGAGCCACCGGUGCUGACGGUACCUGCGAAGGAAGCCCCGGCUAACUCCGUGCCAGCAGCCGCGGUAAGACGGAGGGGGCAAGCGUUGUUCGGAAUUACUGGGCGUAAAGCGCGCGUAGGCGGCGUGCCAAGUGUGACGUGAAAGCCCUCGGCUUACCCGGGGAAGGGCGUCGCAGACGGGUAGGCGAGAGUGCCGGAGGGGGAUGCGGAAUUCCUGGUGGAGCGGUGAAAUGCGUAGAGAUCAGGAAGAACGUCGGUGGCGAAGGCGGCAUCCUGGACGGACACUGACGCUGAGGUGCGAGAGCGUGGGGAGCGAACGGGAUUAGAUACCCGUGUAGUC